rnacentral:rRNA from 1 species
AUUGAACGCUGGCGGCAGGCCUAACACAUGCAAGUCGAGCGGAGCGGCCGACGGGUGAGUAAUACCUAUGAAUCUGCCUGGGAGUUGGGGAUAACGUUCGGAAACGGACGCUAAUACCUCACACUUUCAGAUGAGCCUAGGUCGGAUUAGCUAGUUGGUGGGGUAAUGGUCCACCAAGGCUACCAUCCGUAACUGGUCUGAGAGGAUGACCAGUCACACUGGAACUGAGACACGGUCCAGACUCCUACGGGAGGCAGCAGUGGGGAAUAUUGGACAAUGGGCGAAAGCCUGAUCCAGCCAUGCCGCGUGUGUGAAGAAGGUCUUCGGAUUGUAAAGCACUUUAAGUUGGGAGGCGUUACCGACAGAAUAAGCACCGGCUAACUCUGUGCCAGCAGCCGCGGUAAUUC